CGGUGGAGCAUGUGGUUUAAUUCGAUGCAACGCGGAGAACCUUACCAGGUCUUGACAUCCAAAGAAUCCUUCUGAAAGGAAGGAGUGCCUUCGGGAGCUUUGAGACAGGUGGUGCAUGGUUGUCGUCAGCUCGUGUCGUGAGAUGUUGGGUUAAGUCCCGCAACGAGCGCAACCCUUGCUAUUAGUUGCUAACACAUAAUGGUGAGCACUCUAAUGGGACUGCCGGUGACAAGCCGGAGGAAGGUGGGGAUGACGUCAAAUCAUCAUGCCCUUUAUGACCUGGGCUACACACGUGCUACAAUGGAUGGUACAGAGAGCAGCAAGACCGCGAGGUGGAGCGAAUCUCAAAAAGCCAUUCUCAGUUCGGAUUGGAGUCUGCAACUCGACUCCAUGAAGUCGGAAUCGCUAGUAAUCGCGAAUCAGCAUGUCGCGGUGAAUGCGUUCCCGGGCCUU
rnacentral:rRNA from 1 species